rnacentral:tRNA from 1 species
GGAAUUGUAGCUCAGUGGUGGAGUGCUUGUCUUGCAAGCAUGAGGCACUGGGUUCAAUCCUCAGCACCA